GAACGCACAUUGCGCCCGCCAGUAUUCUGGCGGGCAUGCCUGUCCGAGCGUCAUUUCAACCCAUCAAGCCUAGCGCUUGUGUUGAAGCCCUGCGGCUGCCGCAGCCUUCUAAAAUCAGUGGCGGGCUCGCUAUCACGCUGAGUGCAGUAGUAUUCUUCUCACUCCUGUUGUGUAGCGGGUAACCAGCCGUAAAACCCCCCCAUAUUUAAAGGUUGACCUCGGAUCAGGUAGGAAUACCCGCUGAACUUAAG
rnacentral:misc_RNA from 1 species